AAUUUUGGACAAUGGGGGAAACCCUGAUCCGGCCAUCCCGCGUGUAUGAUUAAGGCCUUCGGGUUGUCAAGUACCUUUUGCAGAGAAGAAAAGGUAUCCCCUAAUACGGGAUCCUGCUGACGGUAUCUGCAGAAUAAGCACCGACUAACUACGUGCCAGCAGCCGCGGUAAUACGUAGUGUGCAAGCGUUAAUCGGAAUUACUUGGCGUAACGAGUGUGUAGGCGGUUCAGAAAGAAAGAUGUGAAAACGCAGGGCUCAAACUUGGAACUGCAUUUUUAACUGCCGAGCUAGAGUAUGGUAGAGGGAGGUAGAAUUCCACGUGUAGCAGUGAAAUGCGUAGAUAUGUGGAGGAAUACCGAUGGCGAAGGCAGCCCCCUGGGAUAAUACUGACGCUCAGACACGAAAGCGUGGGGAACAAACCGG
rnacentral:rRNA from 1 species